rnacentral:misc_RNA from 1 species
AGAUACCCCACUAUGCCUAGCCGUAAACAAUUAACUUACACUAAUAAACGCCAGGGAACUACGAGCUAUGCUUAAAACCCAAAGGACUUGACGGUGUCCCAUACCAACUAGAGGAGCCUGUUCUAUAAUCGAUGACCCCCGCUAUACCCAACCAUCCCUUGCUUUAUCAGCCUGUAUACCUCCGUCAUAAGCCUACCAUGUGAACGUCAACAGUGGGCCCAAUGGUUUAUACAACCAAAAUGCCAGGUCAAGGUGCAGCUCACGGAAUGGUAAGUAAUGGGCUACAAUUUCUAAUCUAGAACAAACGGAAAGCUAUGUGAAACCACAGCCUAAAGGUGGAUUUAGUAGUAAAAAGAAAAUAGAGUGUUCUUUUUAACCCGGCCCUGGGACACGUACACACCGCCCGUCACCCUCUUCAAUAGCUCUCAUUUUAUGUAUAUUACACUAUAUCUGCGUUUUAGAAGAGGCAAGUCGUAACAUGGUAAGUGUACUGGAAAGUGCACUUGGUUAACAAUAUGUAGCUUAACUAAAGCCCCCCGCUUACACCGGAGAAAUGUCUGUUCAACUCGGACCAUUUUGAGCCCUAAAUCUAGCCCACACAACCUCCUAUAUCACUACCCCCUCAACCGCCAAUAAACAAAACAUUUUAACAAUUUAGUACAGGCGAUCGAAAAUUUUUUAAGCGCUUCAGAUAAAGUACCGCAAGGGAAUGAUGAAAUAGCAAUGAAAUAACCUCAAAGCCCAAAACAGCAGAGCCUCUCCCUCGUACCUUUUGCAUCAUGGUCUAGCUAGUCUACCCAGGCAAAGUGAAAACUUUAGUCUGACUUCCCGAAACUAAGCGAGCUACUUCAAAACAGCCUUAGAGCUAACCCGUCUCUGUUGCAAAAGAGUGGGAAAAUUUUCAAGUAGAAGCGAUAAACCUACCGAGCUUAGAGAUAGCUGGUUGUUCAGGAAAAGAGUUUAAGCUCUACCUUAAGUUUUCUUGUUGUAUUAAACAAAAUACUAGACUUAAGAGCUAUUCAAAUAAGGUACAGCUUAUUUGAAAAAGGCUACAACCUACAAUACCGGGUUAAUAUUGAUUUUAUUAAUAAAGUGGGCCUAAGAGCAGCCAUCUUAUAGAAAGCGUUAAAGCUCAACUAUCUCCUCUCUCAAAUUCCAAAAAUUAUCUUCAACCCUUCAUUACUACUGAACUAUUUUAUAUCUUUAUAAAAGUUAUUAUGCUAGAACUAGUAACAAGAAUUAGCCCUUCUCCAAAAUGCACACUCAAGCCAAAAUGGACACCCCAUUGGCAGUUACCGCAAAUGCACCUAUUAUAGUACCUCCCACUAGACAACUCUAUAACCCUAAGCGUUAACCUGACACUAGAGCAUUACAGGAAAGAUUAAAAGAGAAAGAAGGAACUCGGCAAAUCUCGGUCCCGCCUGUUUACCAAAAACAUCGCCUCUUGACCAAAUAUAAGAGGUCCAGCCUGCCCACUGACAUAGUUUAACGGCCGCGGUACCCUAACCGUGCGAAGGUAGCAUAAUCACUUGUUCUUUAAAUAAGGACUUGUAUCAACGGCAUCACGAGGACUAUACUGUCUCCUUUCUCCAAUCAGUGAAACUGAUCUCCCCGUGAAGAAGCGGGGAUUAACCUAUAAGACGAGAAGACCCCAUGGAGCUUAAAGCCCACAAACACCUCUGCGCACUUAAACCAAUUUAGCCUAAGAGACCUGUGAGCCAGCUUUAGGUUGGGGGGACCGCGGAGAAAAACCUAACCUCCACGACAAACGGGCAAACGCCCUAAUCCAUGAAUCACAAUUCUAAGAAUCAAUAAACUGAUGUUUAAUGACCCGAUUAUUCGAUCAACGAACCAAGUUACCCUGGGGAUAACAGCGCAAUCUACUUUAAGAGCUCAUAUCGACAAGUAGGUUUACGACCUCGAUGUUGGAUCAGGGUAUCCCAGUGGUGCAGCCGCUACUAAAGGUUCGU